AGCAGCCGCGGUAAUUCCAGCUCCAAUAGCGUAUAUUAAAGUUGUUGCAGUUAAAAAGCUCGUAGUUGAAUUUCGGGGUUAGUAGGUUGGUCAUGCCUCCGGUAUGUACUGGUCUCACUGAUUCCUCCUUCCUGAUGAACCGUAAUGCCAUUAAUUUGGUGUUGCGGGGAAUUUGGACUGUUACUUUGAAAAAAUUAGAGUGUUUAAAGCAAGCUAACGCUUGAAUACAUUAGCAUGGAAUAAUGAAAUAGGACGUUCGAUCCUAUUUUGUUGGUUUCUAGGAUUGACGUAAUGAUUAAUAGGGAUAGUUGGGGGCAUUAGUAUUCAAUUGUCAGAGGUGAAAUUCUUGGAUUUAUUGAAGACUAACUACUGCGAAAGCAUUUGCCAAGGAUGUUUUCAUUAAUCAAGAACGAAAGUUAGGGGAUCGAAGACGAUCAGAUACCGUCGUAGUCUUAACCAUAAACUAUGCCGACUAGGGAUCGGAUGAUGUUAAUUUUUAAUGACUCAUUCGGCGCCUUAC
rnacentral:rRNA from 1 species